AGAGUGGAAAGUUCACACUAUGACGGUAGCUUACCAGAAAGGGACGGCUAACUACGUGCCAGCAGCCGCGGUAAUACGUAGGUCCCGAGCGUUGUCCGGAUUUAUUGGGCGUAAAGCGAGCGCAGGCGGUUUGAUAAGUCUGAAGUUAAAGGCUGUGGCUCAACCGGGGAGGGUCAUUGGAAACUGUUUUACUUGAGUACAGAAGAGGAGAGUGGAAUUCCAUGUGUAGCGGUGAAAUGCGCAGAGAUAUGGAGGAACACCAGUGGCGAAGGCGGCUCUCUGGUCUGUUACUGACGCUGAGGUGCGAAAGCGUGGGGAUCAAACAGGAUUAGAUACCCUGGUAGUCCACGCCGUAAACGAUGAGUGCUAAGUGUUGGGGGUUUCCGCCCUCAGUGCUGCAGCUAACGCAUUAAGCACUCCGCCUGGGGAGUACGACCGCAAGGUUGAAACUCAAAGGAAUUGACGGUCGACGCGGCCG
rnacentral:rRNA from 1 species